rnacentral:lncRNA from 1 species
AGAUGGUACUGAUCCAUAGCCGGAUGGAGUGGGAGCUUGAUACAUUUGGUCUGCUGACAGAUUAGGUCUAGGUUGUACAUAUGACUGAGGAACAUGGGAAGGGACACCAGAAUUGGGUCUGUUGUAUGGUGGCUGAUAGCCAGAUUGUGGUGGUGGCUGUGAAUAAGGUCCAGGCUGCUGGGGCCCAUACAUUUGCUGUUGACUUGGAGGUUGAUUAUCAUACUUUGGUUCUACAUAUCCCUGUCCAUGCUGUCCAUAGUUAUGUUGUGAGGGGACAGGUGGUGGAUAUUGAGUUGGCUGUCCAUAGCCAGGACCUUGUGGUUGCCCGUAAUAGUUACCGGGAGGGCCUGAAUGAUGACUUGCUUGUGAUUCUACGGGUGGACCACCAUGCCCAUAAUAAUCAUACGC